CCUACGGGAGGCAGCAGUGGGGAAUUUUGGACAAUGGGCGCAAGCCUGAUCCAGCAAUGCCGCGUGAGUGAAGAAGGCCUUCGGGUUGUAAAGCUCUUUUGUCAGGGAAGAAACGGUGGGAGCUAAUAUCUCUUGCUAAUGACGGUACCUGAAGAAUAAGCACCGGCUAACUACGUGCCAGCAGCCGCGGUAAUACGUAGGGUGCAAGCGUUAAUCGGAAUUACUGGGCGUAAAGCGUGCGCAGGCGGUUUUGUAAGACUGUCGUGAAAUCCCCGGGCUCAACCUGGGAAUGGCGAUGGUGACUGCAAGGCUAGAGUUUGGCAGAGGGGGGUAGAAUUCCACGUGUAGCAGUGAAAUGCGUAGAUAUGUGGAGGAACACCGAUGGCGAAGGCAGCCCCCUGGGUCAAAACUGACGCUCAUGCACGAAAGCGUGGGGAGCAAACAGGAUUAGAUACCCUGGUAGUCCACGCCCUAAACGAUGUCUACUAGUUGUCGGGUCUUAAUUGACUUGGUAACGCAGCUAACGCGUGAAGUAGACCGCCUGGGGAGUACGGUCGCAAGAUUAAAACUCAAAGGAAUUGACGG
rnacentral:rRNA from 1 species